UCCAAACAGCAACGCUCCUGAGUUUGUGUCCCACGUCACCUUCAGUCCGCUCAGAGCAGAGGAAUCAUUUCCAUAGAGAGGAGGCUUUGCAUCGUCAGCUGAUCCUCCACUGAACUGAGAAGCUUUAUAGUCCUGUGACUCCAACUCUGCAGGACUCAGACCCGUCAGUCCACCACAACCACCAUGACUCUCAUCACCCUCCUCAUCUGGACGCUGGCCUGCUGCAGCUUCACAGGAUGCAGCGGCCAGGUGACUGUGACUCAGCCUCCAGUCGUGACAUUUACUCCAGGAUCCACUGUCACGCUGACCUGUAACACCAACCCCAGUGUUUAUAGGGAGAUAGCUGGUGAUUGGCUGUCCUGGUACCAGCAGAAACCUGGACAGGCUCCCAAGCUUCUCAUAUACUAUACAUCAACUCUUUAUUCAGGAACUCCCUCUCGAUUCAGUGGCAGUGGCUCUGGUUCUAGCUUCACCUUAACCAUCAGCGGUGUUCUGGCUGAAGAUGUCGGAGAUUAUUACUGUCAGAGCAUCCAUUAUUUAAGCGGAGCAUAUGUGUUCACACAGUGA